rnacentral:rRNA from 1 species
GAGUUUGAUCGUGGCUCAGAUUGAACGCUGGCGGCAUGCCUUACACAUGCAAGUCGAACGGCAGCACGGGAGCUUGCUCCUGGUGGCGAGUGGCGAACGGGUGAGUAAUGCAUCGGAACGUAUCCUGGAGUGGGGGAUAACGUAGCGAAAGUUACGCUAAUACCGCAUAUUCUGUGAGCAGGAAAGCGGGGGACCUUCGGGCCUCGCGCUCUUGGAGCGGCCGAUGUCGGAUUAGCUAGUUGGUGAGGUAAAGGCUCACCAAGGCGACGAUCCGUAGCAGGUCUGAGAGGAUGAUCUGCCACACUGGAACUGAGACACGGUCCAGACUCCUACGGGAGGCAGCAGUGGGGAAUUUUGGACAAUGGGGGCAACCCUGAUCCAGCCAUGCCGCGUGAGUGAAGAAGGCCUCGGUUGGUAAGUAC